rnacentral:piRNA from 1 species
UGUUUCGGGUCGUUAUCCUGCUGAAAC